AUUGAACGCUGGCGGCAUGCCUUACACAUGCAAGUCGAACGGUAACGCGGGGCAACCUGGCGACGAGUGGCGAACGGGUGAGUAAUGCAUCGGAACGUGCCCGGUAGUGGGGGAUAACUGCUCGAAAGAGCAGCUAAUACCGCAUACGACCUGAGGGUGAAAGGGGGGGAUCGCAAGACCUCUCGCUAUCGGAGCGGCCGAUGUCGGAUUAGCUAGUUGGUGGGGUAAAAGCCCAACAAGGCAACGAUCCGUAGCUGGUCUGAGAGGACGACCAGCCACACUGGGACUGAGACACGGCCCAGACUCCUACGGGAGGCAGCAGUGGGGAAUUUUGGACAAUGGACGCAAGUCUGAUCCAGCCAUGCCGCGUGCGGGAAGAAGGCCUUCGGGUUGUAAACCGCUUUUGUCAGGGAAGAAAUCUUCUGAGUUAAUACCUCGGGAGGAUGACGGUACCUGAAGAAUAAGCACCGGCUAACUACGUGCCAGCCGCCGCAGUAACAC
rnacentral:rRNA from 1 species